rnacentral:rRNA from 1 species
UGGGGAAUUUUGGACAAUGGGCGCAAGCCUGAUCCAGCCAUUCCGCGUGCAGGAUGAAGGCCCUCGGGUUGUAAACUGCUUUUGUACGGAACGAAAAGGCUUUCUCUAAUACAGAGAGCUCAUGACGGUACCGUAAGAAUAAGCACCGGCUAACUACGUGCCAGCAGCCGCGGUAAUACGUAGGGUGCAAGCGUUAAUCGGAAUUACUGGGCGUAAAGCGUGCGCAGGCGGUGAUGUAAGACAGAUGUGAAAUCCCCGGGCUCAACCUGGGAACUGCAUUUUGUGACUGCAUCGCUGGAGUGCGGCAGAGGGGGGAUGGAAUUCCGCGUGUAGCAGUGAAUGCGUAGAUAUGCGGAGGAACACCGAUGGCGAAGGCAAUCCCCUGGGCCUGCACUGACGCUCAUGCACGAAAAGCGUGGGGAGCAAAACAGGAUUAGAUACCCUGGUAGUCCACGCCCUAAACGAUGUCAACUGGUUGUUGGGUCUUCACUGACUCAGUAACGAAGCUAACGCGUGAAGUUGACCGCCUGGGGAGUACGGCCGCAAGGUUGAAACUUAAAUGAAUUGACGGGGUCAUAGCUGUUUCCU